rnacentral:rRNA from 1 species
GAUGAACGCUGGCGGCGUGCCUAAUACAUGCAAGUCGAGCGAAGAGGGGACAGGGGAGUAACACGUGGAUAAACUCCUAUAAGGCUGGGAUAAAUUCGGGAAACCGGAGCUAAACCGGAUACUUAUCGAUGGAUCCGCGGUGCAUUAGCUAGUUGGUAAGUGAACGGCUGACCAAGGCAACGAUGCAUAGCCGACCUGAGAGGGUGAUCGGCCACACGGGAACGGAGACACGGUCCAGACUCCUACGGGAGGCAGCAGGAGGGAAUCUUCCGCAAUGGGCGAAAGCCUGACGGAGCAACGCCGCGUGAGUGAUGAAGGUCUUCGGAUCGUAAAACACUGUUAUUAGGGAAGCGGUACCUAAUCAGAAAGCCACGGCUAACUACGUGCCAGCAGCCGCGGUAAUAC